GACGAACGCUGGCGGCGCGCUUAACACAUGCAAGUCGAACGGAAAGGCCCUGCCUUUGUGGGGUGCUCGAAUGGCGAACGGGUGUGUAACACGUGAGUAACCUGCCCCUGACUUUGGGAUAACUUCAGGAAGCUGGGGCUACUACCGGAUAGGAGCUCCUGCCGCAUGGUGGGGGUUGGAAAGUUUCGGCGGUUGGGGAUGGACUCGCGGCUUAUCAGCUUGCUGGUGGGGUAGUGGCUUACCAAGGCUUUGACGGUUAGCCGGCCUGAGAGGGUGACCGGCCACGUUGGGACUGGAAUACGGCCCAGACUCAUACGGGAGGCAGCAGUGGGGAAUAUUGCACAAUGGGCGGAAGCCUGAUGCAGCAACGCCGCGGGCGGGAUGACGGCCUUCGGGUUGUAAACCGCUUUCGCCUGUGACGAAGCGGGAGUGACGGUAAUGGGUAGAGGAACACCGGCUAACUACGUG
rnacentral:rRNA from 1 species